GACGAACGCUGGCGGCGCGCCUAACACAUGCAAGUCGAACGAGAGAGAAGGAGCUUGCUUCUUCGAUCGAGUGGCGAACGGGUGAGUAACGCGUGAGGAACCUGCCUCAAAGAGGGGGACAACAGUUGGAAACGACUGCUAAUACCGCAUAAGCCCACAGGUCGGCAUCGACCAGAGGGAAAAGGAGCAAUCCGCUUUGAGAUGGCCUCGCGUCCGAUUAGCUAGUUGGUGAGGUAAUGGCCCACCAAGGCGACGAUCGGUAGCCGGACUGAGAGGUUGAACGGCCACAUUGGGACUGAGACACGGCCCAGACUCCUACGGGAGGCAGCAGUGGGGAAUAUUGCACAAUGGGGGAAACCCUGAUGCAGCGACGCCGCGUGGAGGAAGAAGGUCUUCGGAUUGUAAACUCCUGU
rnacentral:rRNA from 1 species